UUUCAACUAAGGUGCAAUUGCGAUAGAUAUAACAAUUGGUAAUGCGCCCUAUAUGCGUGAUUCAAGGCAUGUAGAAUUCUUUGUUCGAAACAGGCAAGGACAUUUUCUCGUAUCCUAAUAUAUGGUAUCUUGUGCCAAUUUUAUUACACAGCACAAACAUACAGAACUCUGCUGGAGCGUUCUGAAGUUCAUGGAAUACCAACUUAGUUGACAUAAUGGGAAUUUAGACCGUGAUAAUGGCCACGAUGAUUUCUUAUAUACCACAGAUUAAUAAUGUACCAACUAAUCAUCUUGGUAGAAUGCCCACACUGUAGACAAAUCGACAUUAUCGACAUGGUCCUACGCGAAAUACGGGAGCGUACCGUAUGAUUUAUGAAUGUUAGCGGCUGAUGAAAGCUGAAUGUGUCAAACACUGCGGAAGGAAUAAUUUCGUUCCACACUUUCAAAUUGUAUUGUUACGGAUAAGACGUUCGUGUUAGAUAUUAUGGUGUUGUGAGUGUAAUUCCGUUGGAUAUUUACAGUCAAUCGAAUAUGAUUCCCCUACUCUGUUCAAGAAGAUUGAAGAUGGAGGUAGUAGGUUCAUCCGAAACAUUGUGACCAUCUACAACAUACUUGCGCCUCAUAAGUCGAAGACUACAGCCUAAAUCUUCACCGACGUGAAAUCCUCAGGCACCGUAGCAAAGUAACUGUUGGAGAUUCCAGAAAUUGAGUGUGAGAGGUUCUAACAGAUAAAGGCUGAUUUCCUCACUGGUGGCCAGCAUAAGAAGAUACGAUUAUGGUCAUGUUCCAGGACGCCAUAACGACACCUCUUCUUGGCCCAGUCAUAGGAUGUGGCACUACAAAUUCACCUCCAUUUCAUAAGCCAUAGGAUAUCCAGCUCUAGGAUGAACUUGUCUGUGAAGAUGGCAGAUUGAAAGGAGAUGUAACAACUUGGCCCCACCGAUCUCUGGGUCAUCUUCCCAUUUCAUGUAUGGAAGUAUGUGAAAUAAGAUGUGUCAGGAGCGAAAAGUGAUGACACAGGUACCCUCCAUAUCUGGAGGCCGUCUCUUCCAUCAGCAAUCUGAGGACAUGCCAUGCUGUGGUGACAAGGGACUCACCUAACAUGGGAGUUAAGGUUGAAGUCCUCUGUUUACAGUCUUCUGCAUGGUGACCAAUAGCUCAGAACAACUACCCAAGAGCCUGUGACAGUCACCCAGCCCAGGUUGUUCCCGGCGACCAAGACAAACCAGUGCUUGAUAUAGUAGCCUCAUGAACUUAAUGCUGAACCUUACCUCAUCACUCAAACAAGAAUCUGAUGGUUUGCUGCGUGUCCGGCGGUGCAGCUCUUCUUCUACCUCCUUUAACAUGCCC